rnacentral:rRNA from 1 species
UACGGGGGGGGUAAGCGUUGUUCGGAAUUACUGGGCGUAAAGGGCUCGUAGGCGGCCAACUAAGUCAUACGUGAAAUCCCUCAGCUUAACUGGGGAACUGCGUGUGAUACUGGAUGGCUUGGAUUUGGGAGAGGGAUGCGGAAUUCCAGGUGUAGCGGUAAAAUGCGUAGAUAUCUGGAGGAACACCGGUGGCGAAGGCGGCAUCCUGGACCAAUAUUGACGCUGAGGAGCGAAAGCCAGGGGAGCAAACGGG